rnacentral:rRNA from 1 species
GACAGAGGUGCCGAGCGUUAGGCGGAAUCACUGGGCUUAAAGCGUGUGUAGGCGGGUCGUUAAGUGCCUUGUGAAAUCCCAACAGCUCACCUGUCGGAACUGCUUGGCAUACUGGCGAUCUUGAGCCACUUAGGGGCAACCGGAACAAACGGUGGAGCGGUGAAAUGCGUAGAUAUCGUUUGGAACGCCAAUGGUGAAAACAGGUUGCUGGGCCAAACACGUGACGCUGAUGC